AUCAAACGCGAGAUUAGGAGCCCUACGGAUUACUAAUCCCAAUCCCCCCACCCUGAUUAUCAAACAUGGCCUAAAUGUUUAGAUGGAAGUUCCUCUUUUCCAAAACUUGUACCUUUCAAGAAAAAUCUCAAGCAGAGCUAAAGAAGUAGGACCUUUCUAAUUUUUUCAUGGUUGAAGGUAAUUUUAUAUUUUCUUGGUUUGUUUUUGUUUUCCUUCCGAAUAUAAUCUGUGUGUAGUUUAAUUAUAUUUUUUAUUUCCAUGGAGUGUUGCAUCUUAAAUCUCUUAUUAAUAAUAGGCUAAUAGCUUUCCUAAGUAUUAUCCCAAUAAAUGUAACUUAUGUGGAAUCGAUGUUUUUAAAGAUAAAAUUUCAUGUAGUAAGUCUCUUUAACAAAUUUGCUUUUUCACUUGCCAAAGCUUAAAGUAAUAAGCUUGGCUUCUAUUAUAGAAUUAGCAAUAGUAUUAUACUAUGGAGAUUCUCGAAUGAAGAAAAUGAUCCAAUGACUUAAAAAUAAUUGAAUAAGGAACUGUAUGAGGUGAAAAUAUCACAACAUAGAAGAGUAAUUUGACCCAAUGCUCUAUCUAUACCUUAAUUCCAAUCAACUCUACAUAUAACACCACUUUCUAAAGUAAAAUAUAACUAGUAUAGAGAGAAAUCUCAAGGCAAAGUACUCUAAUUGGUAUAACUAUAUCCUUAAAGUAUUCUAUGAUAUUUCUUUUGUAAAACAAGCAAUAACAUUUGGUACCAAAUUAAUAUCUUUUAUUCCCAUGACAAGUCAAUGAUAGUUAGUCGACUUAAACAUACUAAGUACUCAAAUUAUAGAUGUAACGUCACAUCUAGCAUAAUCCGUUGUAAAACAUACCUUUAAUCAUACCAGCAUGUUUAUUUUGAUUAGUUACAUCUCUAUCAUUUAUAACAACAAAUAUAUACAAGCAUAAAAAUGCAUAGCAACAUGCUUGCAAUCAAAGUAAUUAUAAUUUUUCAAAAAAUUUUCUAAAAACAAUG
rnacentral:lncRNA from 1 species